GGUCUUGACAUCCCGGAGACCCUUAGGAAACUAGGGGGUGCUUCCAUCUGGAAGAAUCUGGAGACAGGUGCUGCAUGGCUGUCGUCAGCUCGUGUCGUGAGAUGUUGGGUUAAGUCCCGCAACGAGCGCAACCCUUGCCUUUAGUUGCCAGCAGUUCGGCUGGGCACUCUAAAGGGACUGCCGGUGUUAAACCGGAGGAAGGUGGGGAUGACGUCAAGUCCUCAUGGCCUUUAUGACCAGGGCUACACACGUACUACAAUGGCCGAUACAAAGGGCAGCGACACUGCGAGGUGAAGCCAAUCCCGUAAAAUCGGUCUCAGUCCGGAUUGGAGUCUGCAACUCGACUCCAUGAAGUUGGAAUCGCUAGUAAUCGUGGAUCAGCCAUGCCAACGGUAGAAUACGUUCCGGGCCUU
rnacentral:rRNA from 1 species